rnacentral:rRNA from 1 species
GACGAACGCUGGCGGCGUGCUUAACACAUGCAAGUCGAACGGAAAGGCCCCCUUGUGGGGUACUCGAGUGGCGAACGGGUGAGUAACACGUGAGUAACCUACCCUUGACUUUGGGAUAACUUCAGGAAACUGGGGCUAAUACCGGAUAGGAGCUCCUGCUGCAUGGUGGGGGUUGGAAGGUUUCGGCGGUUGGGGAUGGACUCGCGGCUUAUCAGCUUGUUGGUGGGGUAGUGGUUCACCAAGGCUUUGACGGGUAGCCGGCCUGAGAGGGUGACCGGCCACAUUGGGACUGAGAUACGGACCAGACUCCUACGGGAGGCAGCAGUGGGGAAUAUUGCACAAUGGGCGGAAGCCUGAUGCAGCAACGCCGCGUGCGGGAUGACGGCCUUCGGGUUGUAAACCGCUUUCGCCUGUGACGAAGCGUGAGUGACGGUAAUGGGUAAAGAAGCACCGGCUAACUACGUG